rnacentral:lncRNA from 1 species
GAACCAUGGUCGACUAAAGCAACAGUUGGUUCUUCUAUAUCUCCUACUUUCACCAAUACCUCAGUAGUUGCCCUUGCUCAAUGCUCUCGAGUAUAAUGACUCAAAGUUUCCAUUUCCUUAUUACUAUAAUCUUCGAAACGUACUCGUUGAUUAUAUCCAUUCUUUUCAUUUGUUGGUUGCUUGUAACCAAUAUCAACCUCUUCUUCAUCUUUAUAUAUUCUUGCAUCAAUAGCAUGACUCAUUCCAAUUUCGCUCAUUAAUUGCCUCUUUCACUUAAUACUGUCAAUGAUAACAUCAUGAAAUUCCUUCUUUGCAAUUCCAAAAACUUCUUUCAAUGUGAAUUCCACCUUAGCGUUUAAUAUACGUUCUUCCAACACCCCU